rnacentral:rRNA from 1 species
UACAGAGGUCUCAAGCGUUGUUCGGAUUCAUUGGGCGUAAAGGGUGCGUAGGUGGCGCCGUAAGUCAGGUGUGAAAUUUCGGAGCUUAACUCCGAAACUGCAUUUGAUACUGCGGUGCUUGAGGACUGGAGAGGAGACUGGAAUUUACGGUGUAGCAGUGAAAUGCGUAGAGAUCGUAAGGAAGACCAGUGGCGAAAGGCGGGUCU